GACAGAGGCCUCGAGCGUUAGGCGGAAUCACUGGGCUUAAAGCGUGUGUAGGCGGAUCGUUAAGUGCCUUGUGAAAUCCCACGGCUUAACUGUGGAACGGCUGGGCAUACUGGCGGUCUUGAGCCAUCUAGGGGCGACUGGAACAAACGGUGGAGCGGUGAAAUGCGUAGAUAUCGUUUGGAACGCCAAUGGUGAAAACAGGUCGCUGGGGAUGAGCUGACGCUGAGACACGAAAGCCAGGGGAGCGAACAGG
rnacentral:rRNA from 1 species